CAGGUUUUUCAGUAAACUAUUGAAAAUCAAGCAAACAGUGCAAAGAUUGACGCAGAUUUCUAGAUGUACUUUGAUUUCAGGUUGAGGUGGGCUUUUUUCAAAGUGAGAAAACUAGUGUCCAGGUCAGCGUGGUCCCACAGCUGACUGUGUCCCUUUAACACUGAGAGAGAAAGGGUUAAAUUGGUGAUAUCAACAGUAUGGUAAGCAUUGUAUCGUAAGCUUUACAUUUGAUAUUUCCAGCUUCCGGCCGAGCAGCAUUAGAUCAGGAUUUAGAUUCCAUUCUGGGUGGUAAUGAUGAUGACAUAUUUGGUUCAAGUUCUCAGGAACAAACAGAUACAAGGGGCCGUUCUACAACCUCAGCUCCUGGCAAGAAAGCAUCUUUAACUUCUGGUGCUACAGAUGAAGAUUUCUAUAGCAGUUUGGCACAGAUGGCAGGAGAUGGUUUUGAUGAUGAUGAUGAUCCUGACGAGGUGA